CUAACCCACCUAGGGAAGGUUAUACUUGCCCACAUGCUCUCAGACAAAUCUCUAUCCAUCAUUUCUCUAUCUGAUAGGGAACCAAAAGGAGAUCUCACAGCUGGUAUAUACAGGGGUGCAUCAAUGUGCAUACACAUGGGAGAAACUAACUGCUUACAAGAGUCUCUGGAAAAGGAUAAGAGGCUCCCAAAAAUCCUGUUUUUGGAGAAUGGCUCCAGCAAACCCAACGCCUUCCCACCCUUCUGUCUUUAUUCUGAAGUCACAAGACUCCAGCGGUACAACUGCGUGUCUAGCAAAGGAUUUCUACCCCAAAGAAGUGAAGAUAUCGAUGAAUCCUGGCAGCCCAGUUCUGUAUGAAAGAGCUGAACCUGUCCUCACAGCCAGAAGAAAAUACGGCGCUAUAAAGAUUGUCAACACCACACUGAAUGAAGACGUGCAUUGCUCAGUUCAACACAACAACCAAAAGAUUGACAGGACCCUUGCAUCAGAGAAACAGCCAGAUUUCUCUACCCUGGCACACACUGCAAGUGUCACCGAGGCCUGCAGAACUUCAGAUUCCAGCCUCCAAGAUGAAGAGAUGGAGAAGACAAACACUUUGUCCAUCACUAUUUUGGGGCUGAGACUGUUGCUAACAAAGAGCAUCGCUCUGAACAUGAUUAUGGUAACCAGAUGCAUCAUGUUUUGAGCUUGGAAGGAGCAAACCAAUAACGGUCUGAAGAAAGGAUCAUCCAAAAGCUACCUGAAGGGUUAAAAAUGGAAGGGGAGUACUUUCUAAUAUUUUCACUGCUAUUUUUAUAUAAAUCAAACACACUUUUAGUAAAGUUUUUCAAUAGACAAAGUUACUGAAGUCUACCAAAAACCAGGUUUUCAAUUUUUUUAAAGCUUUGAGAGCAUUUAUGAUGUAAACAAACAAGCUUUCCUAACAUUUUUUCCCACAAUAUAACAGAUUAUUUAAAACAAUGGUGAAAGCUUUUUAGAUGUUGGUAUGAAAUCCAAGGCAGGAGUCACAAGUUUUGUAUUUCACAUACACAACACCAGUUUAAACCAACAUAAUUUCUCCCAGGCUUUAUCUUUUUUCUCUGGUAUCAAGAUAAUGAGUGCCAUUUAUUGUUCAUAGCUGCCUUGAAAGAACCCCUCAUUUUCACAAAGGAAAAAAACAGUUCUUCUUAUAUGUAAACUAGUUCAACCUUUUAAACUUUCCAUUGGUAUUUUAAAGUUUAAGUAAACUUUUGCAACAUACCUUACUUGUAGAUUAAUUGAGCUUUGGGUUAACGUAGAGCUAAUUUUAGUGUCUGAAUUAAAGUAUUUAACCAAAUUGUACCAAAUGACAACAUUUCUCUGAUGUCUAAUUCUUGCUAGAGCGUACUGAUCUUGUUAUUCAAAUAUACAAUACUUUGUAAAUAAACUGAAACUUAA